UACGAAGGCAGCAAGCGUUGUUCGGAAUUACUGGGCGUAAAGAGUGUGUAGGCGGUGCUCCAAGUCUGGUGUGAAAUCUCCCGGCUUAACUGGGAGGGUGCAUUAGAAACUGGAAUGCUAGAGGAUGGGAGAGGUAAGCGGAAUUCCUGGUGUAGCGGUGAAAUGCGUAGAUAUCAGGAGGAACACCUGUGGUGUAGACAGCUUACUGGACCAUUUCUGACGCUGAGACACGAAAGCGUGGGUAGCAAACAGG
rnacentral:rRNA from 1 species